AAGGUGGGGCGCUCUAUCGCUCUUUUGAGAAAAAGGGAGGAAAGUCCGGACAGGAAAGAGCAAGACUCUGUGGAAAUCACAGCUGGGGGUAACCUUAGGUAAUUCGUAACAGAAAAUAACCGCCUCUAAACAAGGUAAGGGUGAAAAUGCGGGGUAAGAGCCCACAACUCUUUAUGGCGACAUACAGAGGGUACGACCAGUCUCCUGCAAGGCCAUGUAUACCAGCUUCAAGGGCUGCUCGUCCAUCGCUGGGGGGUAGGCUGCAUCAGAUAAAUGAUAGGGACUCUUUUUGAGAACAGAAUCCGGCUUACAGACCCACCUUUUUU
rnacentral:RNase_P_RNA from 2 species